AUUGAACGCUGGCGGCAUGCCUUACACAUGCAAGUCGAACGGCAGCACGGGGGCAACCCUAGUGGCGAGUGGCGAACGGGUGAGUAACGCAUCGGAACGUGCCCAGUAGUGGGGGAUAACUAGUCGAAAGAUUAGCUAAUACCGCAUACGACCUAUGGGUGAAAGCGGGGGACCUUUACCGGCCUCGCGCUAUCGGAGCGGCCGAUGUCUGAUUAGCUAGUUGGCGGGGUAAAAGCCCACCAAGGCGACGAUCAGUAGCUGGUCUGAGAGGACGACCAGCCACACUGGGACUGAGACACGGCCCAGACUCCUACGGGAGGGCAGCAGUGGGGAAUUUUGGACAAUGGGCGCAAGCCUGAUCCAGCCAUGCCGCGUGCGGGAAGAA
rnacentral:rRNA from 1 species